GGGUGAGUAACGCGUAUCCAACCUGCCCGUCACCACGGGAUAGCCUGCCGAAAGGCAGAUUAAUACCGUAUGUGGUCCGAAGACGGCAUCAGAUUCGGACUAAAGGUUCAGCGGUGACGGAUGGGGAUGCGUCCGAUUAGGUAGUAGGCGGGGUAACGGCCCACCUAGCCAUCGAUCGGUAGGGGUUCUGAGAGGAAGGUCCCCCACACUGGAACUGAGACACGGUCCAGACUCCUACGGGAGGCAGCAGUGAGGAAUAUUGGUCAAUGGAGGCAACUCUGAACCAGCCAAGUAGCGUGCAGGAUGACGGCCCUAUGGGUUGUAAACUGCUUUUAUGCGGGGAUAAACUGAGCCACGUGUGGCUUAUUGCAGGUACCGCAUGAAUAAGGACCGGCUAAUUCCGUGCCAGCAGCCGCGGUAAUACGGAAGGUCCGGGCGUUAUCCGGAUUUAUUGGGUUUAAAGGGAGCGCAGGCCGCCCCUUAAGCGUGUUGUGAAAUGCCGCGGCUCAACCGUGGCACUGCAGCGCGAACUGGGGGGCUUGAGUGCGCCGGAGGUAGGCGGAAUUCGUGGUGUAGCGGUGAAAUGCUUAGAUAUCACGAAAAACUCCGAUUGCGAAGGCAGCCUACCGUAGCGUUACUGACGCUGAGGCUCGAAGGUGCGGGUAUCGAACAGGAUUAGAUACCCUGGUAGUCCGCACGGUAAACGAU
rnacentral:rRNA from 1 species